rnacentral:rRNA from 1 species
GAUGAACGCUGGCGGCGUGCCUAAUACAUGCAAGUCGAACGAGGUGCUUUUGUAGCAAUACGAGGGUGUUCCUAGUGGCGAACGGGUGAGUAACACGUUGGUGACCUGCCCCGAAGUGAGGGAUAACACCGCGAAAGUGGUGCUAAUACCCCAUGUGACCCGAGGGAUUAGAUGCCCUUGGUGGAAAGGCGUAAGCCGCUUCGGGAGGGGCCUGCGGCCCAUCAGCUAGUUGGCAGGGUAAUGGACCUACCAAGGCGACGACGGGUAGGGGUCCUGAGAGGGUGGCCCCCCACACUGGCACUGAAACACGGGCCAGACACCUACGGGUGGCAG